ACAAGAUGUUAGGAUUGUAAAGGCAUUCGUUGAUAACCUUAUCGAAGAUCCAGCAUCGCUUGCUGGGCAGCUGGUGGAUACUUUCUCUGAUGUUAUCUCAAGCAAGAGAUCCUCUGUAGUUCCUGGAGGCUUUUGUCUGAAGCUUUGGCAUUAACGGAUUCAGAAUGGAUCCUCUUCUCUCUGCUUCAUGAUUUAUAAUUGCAAAUCCAUGGGGUUGCUUCUGCCCAAUUGAUCCACAUUUCUCUCUGGUGGUUAUGAAGUUGGAGUUGGAAUGAAAGGGAUCUGCUGUAAGAUUAUCUGAAAUAAAUAUCUAUUGGAUAUUUGAUUCUUUUGAACUAGAGAUGUUACUUGAUUUGUUAAGCAUGAAGAUUUUGAUGUUCAUUAGAAGUAGUGCCUUUAGUUUGGAUGUCAAGAAGAAGAUGAAUAUUUAUGAACUGGAAUGUUUUGAAGAGAAACGUAUCAAAACCUUCAGUAUGUGGUGCAUUGCAACUUCAAAAUGUAGAAGCAAUUUUCUGAAGA